AGAGUUUGAUCCUGGCUCAGGACGAACGCUGGCGGCGUGCUUAACACAUGCAAGUCGAACGAUGAAGCUGGAGCUUGCUCCGGUGGAUUAGUGGCGAACGGGUGAGUAACACGUGAGAAAUCUGCCCCUGACUCUGGGAUAACUGCGGGAAACUGUAGCUAAUACCGGAUACUUUCCCUGGUGGGCAUCCACUGGGGAAGAAAGAAUUUCGGUCAGGGAGGAUCUCGCGGCCUAUCAGCUAGUUGGUGAGGUAACGGCUCACCAAGGCGACGACGGGUAACCGGCCUGAGAGGGUGACCGGUCACACUGGGACUGAGACACGGCCCAGACUCCUACGGGAGGCAGCAGUGGGGAAUAUUGCACAAUGGGCGCAAGCCUGAUGCAGCAACGCCGCGUGAGGGAUGAAGGCCUUCGGGUUGUAAACCUCUUUUAGCAGGGAAGAAGCGAAAGUGACGGUACCUGCAGAAAAAGCACCGGCUAACUACGUGCCAGCAGCCGCGGUAAU
rnacentral:rRNA from 1 species